UUCAGUCGACAAGAAAACUGCUCCAGAAAAUAAAAAUUAUUACUCGAAAAUCAGAUCUCAUAAAUAUUUGUGUGAGUAGUGAACAUGGAGUCGGACGCCGAAUCACCCAAGUCCAGCGAGAUAUAUGUAGACUUGUCGGACAGUGACGAGGAAGACGUGUUUACAGUUUGCAGCCGGAAGAGGAAGGCGCUUCCAAUUGUCUCUUCAGAUGAGUCAGAGGAUGAAGAAGACGAUGGUGAUGAUAAUCUGGACCUGUCCAACUCGGACCCUCAGCCUAGUCAUUCCAGAGAUAUCAAUCCAGAUCUCGAUCUUCCAGAGAAUUUCCAUUCACGGCGAUAUGGAAAGCUCUCCAACAAUCUCCGGGAAUUGGAACGUCGUGAGGAGUUGAUCGAUUGGUUGAAGGAGGUGGAGAAGAAUCCAUCAGCAGGUCGGGCAGCCUACGAUCAACGACGCGAGGAGCUUGAGUUGGCAGGAAAUUGGAGGCAGCAAGAUCGGGAGCAUGGGGAGAUUUAUUUUGAUAUCCGUAUUCCAGGUUCGCCAGUAAAGGGUUACUGGGUCCUCAAAUCUGAUGGCAAAAGGAAUGUACUAUCGUCUUAUUACGCUGCGCAAAUGAGAUUAAGUGUAUCGCAGACCAGAUCCGAUGCAAACGAAUCCUAUAGGGACCCAGCAAACCCUCUUCAUGACGUAAUUAAAGACAGCAUGCGAAAAUCUGUCGAAGCUAGACCACCAAUGGAUAUUAUAUAUACAGCAUCAUUAAUUCUUCCGGCAAAUAUGGGGGUUGAUUUAUGGGAAACUAUGCAAUCAGUUGAACCGGUUCAAGAUUAUGUCGGGAUAUAUAAUGGAGAUUUGGGUCGUUUCUCAACCUUGUAACUUUUCCCGUAAAAGCAAUAACCGAGAAAUCUACAACAGAACCGUUGGUUGCGAUGACCCAGACUAUUGCAUAGAAAAGAAGGUUAUUUUAUGCAACUCCACAAAUACAAAAGAAAUAGGGGAAGGAUUUCUGAUGGCAUACGGACAGAAAUACAACAAAUUCCAUGGAGUCGAGCGCUACAUCAUAACGGAAGCCGCAACCCCACCAUCCGAUCUGAUUAAGAAAGCGCAUAAGUAUGUCGUCGAUGGAGUCCCGAUGUUUGAAUUCGUUGAAGAGGAACAUCUGGACCGGUCCAACCCACCCUUUUGGGCUACUCUCGACCAAGUGACUACGCUCCCUUACACCAUCUGUAGAAACGACCUGAAAAUUCGGUAUGAUCCAAACUUCCCUGAUGACAGGCGUCACUACAAAACAUUCAAGAAUUUUAAUCGAUUGAUUGAAGAAUUUGGCUAUCCCUCUGAAGAGUAUUUUGUAACCGUUGAUGAUUCUCGAGAUAAGUUUAAAUAUUAAUUUUAUAAAAUGACACUAUAAUUACAAGUCCAUGAAAUGAAUUUUUAGUAUCACUUUUUUUAUUUAUGUAAGAAUUUUAUAAUUUGUAAGACGAAUCAUUUUUGCAUAAUAUCCUAUCAUAUAUAAAAAUGUGUAAAAAAAAAUGUUUUUUGACUAGUCAAAAAUAGGACAUCAUGGCUUAACUCCGCCCACCUUAAAUACUUAAAACGGGGUCUCAUCUUCUUCUGUCUGCCAACUAUUUACAGUACAGUCGUGCAUAUUUAUAAUAUUUGUAAGUAUGUAUACACACAUAUAUUCACACGAUAACAAUAAAAAAAUGGUAAAUAUGUAUGUAUUGGUUAAAGUAAAA